CCUACGGGUGGCAGCAGUGGGGAAUAUUGCGCAAUGGACGAAAGUCUGACGCAGCGACGCCGCGUGAGGGAUGAAGGUUUUCGGAUCGUAAACCUCUGUCAGGAGGGAAGAAAGCGCAUGGCGCCAAUCAGCCAUGCGUUGACGGUACCUCCAAAGGAAGCGCCGGCUAACUCCGUGCCAGCAGCCGCGGUAAUACGGAGGGCGCGAGCGUUAAUCGGAAUUACUGGGCGUAAAGCGCGCGUAGGCUGUUGUGUAAGUUGGGGGUGAAAUCCCACGGCUCAACCGUGGAACAGCCCUUGAUACUGCGCGACUUGAAUCCGGGAGAGGGUGGCGGAAUUCCAGGUGUAGGAGUGAAAUCCGUAGAUAUCUGGAGGAACAUCAGUGGCGAAGGCGGCCACCUGGACCGGUAUUGACGCUGAGGCGCGAAAGCGUGGGGAGCAAACAGGAUUAGAUACCCCAGUAGUC
rnacentral:rRNA from 1 species